rnacentral:rRNA from 1 species
GUCUUUUUGAUUAUAAUUUAAAGUCGGGCCUGCCCAAUGAUUUUUGAAUGGCCGCGGUAUUUUGACCGUGCAAAGGUAGCAUAAUCAUUAGCUUUUUAAUUGUAAGCUAGAAUGAAUGGUUUAAUGAGAAACUAACUGUCUCUUAUCAAUUUAUUGAAUUUUAUUUUUAAGUAAGAAAGCUUAAGUUUUUUUGGAAGACGAGAAGACCCUAUAGAGUUUUAUAUUUUAUUAUUUUUAAUUUUUAUUUUAAAUAUUUAUUAUAUUUUGUUGGGGUGACAGGGAAAUUUAUUUAACUUUUUCUUUAUUUUUAUAUUUUUAUAUAGUUUUUUGAUCCUUUAUUUAUGAUUAAAAGAUUAAAUUACCUUAGGGAUAACAGCGUAAUUUGUUUUAAGAGUUCUAAUCGAAAGACGAGUUUGCGACCUCGAUGUUGGAUUAAAGUUUGUGUGUGGUGAAGAAGCUGCAAUGCUAGGUCUGUUCGACCUUUUUAACUUUUAGGUCUGUUCGACCUUUUUAACUUUUGGUGAAGAAGCUGCAAUGCUAGGUCUGUUCGACCUUUUUAACUUUUAGGUCUGUUCGACCUUUUUAACUUU